AAGUGAAAUUCAGUUGGUUGUCAUUUACAAUUUCACCGCUAGAUGGGAGAAAUUCUUACACAAUGUAGCUUUAAAGACUGUCAACUGAUGACAGAUA